rnacentral:rRNA from 1 species
UACGGGGGGAGCAAGCGUUGUUCGGAUUUACUGGGCGUAAAGGGCGCGUAGGCGGCCUCCGCAAGUCGACUGUGAAAUCUCCGGGCUUAACCCGGAACGGUCAGCCGAUACUGCGGGGCUAGAGUGCAGAAGGGGCAACUGGAAUUCUCGGUGUAGCGGUGAAAUGCGUAGAUAUCGAGAGGAACACCUGCGGCGAAGGCGGGUUGCUGGGCUGACACUGACGCUGAUGCGCGAAAGCGUGGGGAGCAAACAGG